GAACACAAUUCUCGUAUUCAGUUCAUUCUGCGAAACUUUCAUUAAUUAGGCUGAGUCUUGGCCAGAGAUCUGUUGUACAUGCUGUAUGUUGGCGUAACGCAUGAUAUCUGACCCAAUUACAUCAGCCGGGAAAAUUGUCUUUUGUGAUAGGGGAAUUAAUGCAAGAGUUGCCUAAGGAGUUGUGGUGAAACAAGCUGGUGGAAUUGGAAUGGUUUUAGCCAAUACAGCUGCCAAUGGCGAAGAGUUAGUUGCUGAUGCUCAUUUGUUGCCGGCAAGUGGUGUGGGUGUGAAAGUUGCUGACGUAUAACCUGUUAUGCAACUAUGAAAAUAGAUGCAUCUACAAAUUUGUUGUAUAACUUGUUAUGCGUUCUCGAAAUUGGUUGCAUAACACUAUCUGCAGUUUUUUUUUUUGCAUAACUUGUUAUGCAGUCCAGAAAACGGUUGCAUAGCAUGUUAUGCAGCAACUUUUUUGUCACUAUCGGAACCAACAAAAAUAAAGACUGCAUAACUUGUCAUGCA